AUUCGUAUAACGCCUAUCCAUGAUGGCGCGGAAUCUUUUCUUCUGUCAGAUAAACCCAAAUUACGCGAUACACUGUUCGGCGUUUACCAUUAAUAAUGGACGUGCGAAUGUACGACAAAGGUUGCGUCAGGCUUACAGCCCUCCGCCGAGACGCGAUACCUUUUUCCCCAACGCUUCGCAUUGGGCUGAAUUAACACGCCCUUUCAGGGCUCUUACAGCAGUCAGCCGUCAGUUCCGCAUUCCUCCUUGGAAGGGGGGAAGGGGGAUGUUCAUAUCGGCGUUAUGACGGGUGAACACAGAGGUUCGCCCCUACAUGAACUGCCCUUUCCUCUACCCUGUCAUUCAGAGCGAAGCGAUGAAUCUCCUUCCUUCUCCAAGUGAGAUUCCUCACGGUGUUCGGAAUGACAAGGAGGGGCGUUCAGAGCACUUCCCUUGUCAUCCAGAACGUCAGCGAUGAAUCUCUUUUCCUCUUCCUCGCGGGAUUCCUCACUGCGCUCGGAAUGACAGGGGUACAUGUUGUAGAGACACAAAUCAUUGCGUCUCUACGGUGCGUACUGCGUUCAUUUGCGUCCAUUUGUGAAAUUUGUGUUCGGACACCGUGUACCUUGUACAUAACCAUUACCCGAUAGGGCUGAAAGCCCGCUUUAUUUCAGCCCUAUCCCGCAAGGGUGGGGUAUCCAUGCCAAUACCUUGGUUAGAGGGCUGUAAGCCUGACAUAAUCGUUAGCGGUCAGUAUUCAGCAAUCAGUCAACAAAUCAACAUGUCAACAAUAAUGCA
rnacentral:sRNA from 1 species